rnacentral:lncRNA from 1 species
GUUAGGGUAAAAAUUUAAGAAAUGCUGCCAACGAAGACCAGCAUAGAAAGGUCAUCUGCUACUUGCCAGAGCAGACAGUGUUACUGUGUUUAUAAUGUGUUCUUACCUCAAUCCAUCUAGAGUAAGUAGGUAUGCCUGCUUCUCCUAUAAUCCUACCUCCAAUGACCUAGCUGUGGGGAAGAAGAGAGGAUUUCUGGUUUCUUCCUUGGAGAAUGCCUUAACCAUGAAUGGAGCAGUCGUGGUAAGGCAGAAUUUCAAAAGCCGUCAGUGCCCUACUCCUGCACUUCUAACAAGUCAUUGGCAUAGACAGAGGAAACUCUGCAUCUAACUCAAAAAUGU